UUUUAACAGAUGUAUUUCUUUAAAACAUCUUUUCCCACCAUUUCUCAACAUUCCUCCUCCCUGCUCCUGUCCGCCCUUAGCUUCUUGUGGGUUCCACGUUACCCUAUCUUCUCUUUGACGUCCUGAGGUCCUCCCACAUCACGUUCCCUUCUCACCAUCUCUCUGGCUGUUAUUCCUUCCAGCUCUUCCUUGCUAUACACCCAGGUGUGUUCUACCUCCCUGGUGAUUACCCUAAUUUCAUGAUAAGGUUGGUGAGAUGAUGAAGGCGAUUCGCUUAAGGUGAGUGUGGUCAUUGCCAUUCGAGAGAAGGCUUCCUUUCCCUUGGUUCUCCAAGUGCUCUGAGGUGGAGUGCCUCUUGCUUUACAGAUGAUCGUGUUCUGGCUUUUAGGGGAAGCAUUCAGACUCCAAAGCUGUUGCAUGAGAUGAGUUCCUUCUUUGUUGACUGUGUAAACACUGUCUGUAUACACUGAUGUCAAGCGUGCUCUUGAAACGAGCCAGUCCGCUUUGCUUGACCCUAUUCCCAAGGGAUAUUGGUAAUAGUUUUGCAUGACAAUGUGGGAUUUUUCCUUUUAAACAACAAUGAUUACUCUCCUUUCUUUUAUAUUUUAAUUCAUUUAAUAAUUACUCCAACACAUUUCUCUUCCUUCAGGUCUUACACAUACACUUUUCCGUCAAUCAAAUAAACGUGACUGACAAUAUAUUUCCGGUGUCAGUGGCUGUUUUCUAAGAUAACCCUACAUCAUUUCUGAGAGCCUAGUGCAAGAAUUACAAAAUCCUCAUGUCCCGACGUAUCACGUUACAACCCUGAAACCAUAGUGAGGUUUUCAGGUGGCAUUCAUUAACUUGAGCAAUUGCAUUUCUUUGGAAAUGGACGUUACUUAGGUAGCUUUUAGACACAAAUACUGGCAAACUAAGAUAUUACCUGCAUUUCCCUUAUGAUGCUAAGAAAUCUUGUUUAGAAAUACAUGCAUGAUUGUGUGUUUUCUCUCAGCUAGGAUGAUGGCUCUGUUCAAGGAUGAUUGGAGGAGAGAACAGUUCCAGAAUGAAGGACUUCAGGAAAAAUAUGAUGAUCUUCAAAAGAAACUCAAUCAAGUCCAGAAAGAAAUGGCUAGGAUGAUGGCUCAGUUCAAGGAUGAUUGGAGGAGAGAACAGUUGCAGAAUGAAGGACCUCAGGAAAAACAUGGUAAAGCCUCUUUUAUACCCCCUCACCCCCCAAACACUGUAGAACACCUGCGUUUGUGGUGUUGUAGAGAUAUCCCAGCUUUUAACCAACGUGUCACCACUGGCUUGCCCUCUCCAGAUCUCUGCUAUUCUGGCACAAUAUUGCAGUUAGGGACUCUCCCAUAUUCCCCUUCUCUGCUCUUGCAAAGCCUGUAUGUUCCAACAUAGUCUGUGGGUCAAGUGUAAACUCAAGGGGCAUCCCUGCACUGCCUCUGAGCACAUGACCCAAGUGUCCCCAGGUAUUCGAAGACUUCCCAUUGUUUUACCUAGGAAUUUUUUAUUUAGAACCAAUGAGAGUAAUUUUCAUUCUUUCCUUUUUACUUCAUUGACACAGCUGUCAAUUUUGCAAACUCCAAAUACUUCAAAUAUUUGUAGAAGGAUUCAUAGCUUAAGGAAAGACCAAUAAUAAUCAUAAUACAUUUUUGAUUUCUAAGUUUUCAUGCGAAUGACACAAGGAACUACUGUCCUACAAUGUUCCCAGAAGGCUUUUCAUAAAACGCAAACGUAGUCCUUAGAAGUUUAAUACCCUGUUUUUCUAAUGACAUUUUUGUCAGUGUCCUUUCGUUUUCAGAGGGAAUCAAAUUCACCUCUCAAUGCAUGUAGCUGGCUUCAUGUAGCCCCUGCUACAGGCCUUGCUUGCAACCAAUGGAAGUUUUUUCCUCUCUGCUUCCUCCUCUUUUUCAAGUAACUCUGCCUUGUGCGAGUGUGUAUCUCCAUGUUAGACUGAAAAGGGGACCGAAAUAAGAGGAGCUUUAUUUUGCAUGAGUGAAAAUAGAAAUCCACCCCCCAAAAGUUAUGUAAUCUUUGCAGAGUGAAAUGUGAACACAGACAGGUUCCCAAGAGCCAAACCCUGCAUCUUCUCUAGCAGCACCUCUUGAGUAUCCUCUAGUCCAUUGUUCAUGGAUACCUUAUAAACAAAGUUACGACAAGGAAGAGAAGUGGUGAUUUGUAUUUGGCAGUGACAAAGAAUGCCUUAAAGGUAUCCAACCAAAGAGUAAGGUCCCGAGCGUUGUCCAGAUAAUUUAAGAGCUUUGUACAAGGUAACCACCAUCACUAAUGAUCCUGAAAUUUUUCCACCAGACGUAACAUCAUUUUUUUUUUGGCUUUAAUUUUGGACCGGUAAUCUCAGGACAAAAGCAGCUCUCAGGCACGCUGGUAAUAGGUGUGU
rnacentral:lncRNA from 9 species